rnacentral:rRNA from 1 species
AUGAACGCUAGCUACAGGCUUAACACAUGCAAGUCGAAGGGCAGCAUGAACAAAGCUGCUUGUUUGAUGGCGACCGGCGCACGAGUGCGUAACACGUAUCCAAUCUGCCCGCGGCUCGGGGAUAGCCCAUCGAAAGAUGGAUUAAUACCCGAUGGUGUGGUUUCUCCGCAUGGUGCAUGCCAUAUUGGUUAAAGUUAUUCGGUACGGGAUGGGGAUGCGUCUGAUUAGGUAGUAGGCGGGGUAACGGCCCACCUAGCCGACGAUCAGUAGGGGUUCUGAGAGGAAGGUCCCCCACACUGGAACUGAGACACGGUCCAGACUCCUACGGGAGGCAGCAGUGAGGAAUAUUGGUCAAUGGGCGCGAGCCUGAACCAGCCAAGUAGCGUGCAGGGUGACGGCCCUACGGGUUGUAAACUGCUUUUAUGCGGGAAUAAAGAUAUCUACGUGUAGAUAGUUGCAUGUACCGCAUGAAUAAGGACCGGCUAAUUCCGUG